UACAUGCUAGUCGAGCGUCUUCAGGCUAUGUUGAGGACGCGGCGUACGGCUCAGUAACACGUGGCCAACCUACCCUUAGGACGGAGACAACCCCGGGAAACUGGGGCUAAUCCCCGAUAGGGGAGGACGCCUGGAAUGGUCUCUCACCCAAAGGACGUUGAAGCCUUGCUUUUCGGCGUUGCCUAAGGAUGGAGCCGCGGCCGAUCAGGUUGUUGGUGAGGUAAUGGCUCUCCAAGCCUAUAACCGGUUCGGGCCAUGAGAGUGGGAGCCCGGACAUGGGCACU
rnacentral:rRNA from 1 species